UUUACUUUAUAGUAUAUUCUAUAAUUUUUAUGCUGCACGUAUAUUCUUUAUCAGGAAAACGCUAUUUAAAAAGAAAAAUCUUUUGUAUAGCAAUACCAUUUUCACAGUUCAACUAGAAUUCACUUCUGACAUAGCGAAUAAAAUAACUUUGUGUAUUUUAAAUAUUACUGGGCAAAGCAAAUUAUUUAAUAUUUAAUUAUAUUUAGUUUUGAAUGGGUGCAGAUAAUAGUUCAUAAAAAUAUAACUCUAAGGUUUGAGGUGUGGAAAUUGUGUCAUUUGGUAUAAUAGGAUAAUCUUAAAUUUAUGGCUUAGGAGUAAACAGUUCUUUUUUUUUUUUUUUUUUUUUUUUCUCCUUCUUACAUAACACAAAAACAACGGAUCCAGUUUGGCACCAAUUUUCUCCUCCAAAGUCACCUUUGUGUGAAAUGUAGCACCUCAGGUUUCAGUGAAAUAACUUGCAGAUGAGAAAAGGUUUCUUAACAAAAUUUUCUUGUAAUUUUACUACAGUGUUAGUUCCUGGCAGCCUCGGAGAGUCCUUUUUUUCAUAGGCUGAAGGUCAGGAUUCACCACAUGGAACAAAUGUAGCCUGGUCACAGUGUGCCUCUGGACCGAAAGGUGUCCCAGAGUGGGCGGCAAGUUGACUUUUCAAAACCCAUUUUUCUCUAUCUCGGGUCACAUUAAGAAAGCAACUGAUAGCACGGUGGUGAAGGAUGUAGACGGUCGUGAAACCAAAUAGGAAAUUUGAAAGGACAUGAUUCCUCAAGAGACUUGACAGCAUCUCUUCAUACGAGGACCUGCGGACCCUGUGAGGCCAGCGACACUAGAACGGAAGCCAGGUCACACCUCUCGAUAAAGACUCCAGAAAGGAGAACUGAAAAGUCGAAAAGGAGAAAAGGUGAC